CGCGGGGUGGAGCAGCCUGGUAGCUCGUCGGGCUCAUAACCCGAGGGUCGUCGGUUAAAAUCGGGCCCCCGCAACCA
rnacentral:tRNA from 1 species